rnacentral:rRNA from 1 species
UACGUAGGGGGCUAGCGUUGUCCGGAUUUAUUGGGCGUAAAGAGCGUGUAGGCGGCCUGGUAGGUCUGCUGUGAAAACUCGAGGCUCAACCUCGAGAUGUCGGCGGAAACCAUCUGGCUAGAGUUCGGAAGAGGCGAGUGGAAUUCCCGGUGUAGCGGUGAAAUGCGCAGAUAUCGGGAGGAACACCAAUGGCGAAGGCAGCUCGCUGGGACGUUACUGACGCUGAGACGCGAAAGCGUGGGGAGCGAACAGG